rnacentral:tRNA from 1 species
GGGCGGUUAACUCAGCGGGAGAGUGCCAUCCUCACACGGUGGAAGCCGCGGGUUCAAACCCCGCACCGCCCACCA